CGACAUAGCUCAGUUGGUAGAGCAACUGAUUUGUAAUCAGUGGGUCGGGAGUUCGAGUCUCUCUGUCGGC
rnacentral:tRNA from 2 species